AAAUUGAAGAGUUUGAUCAUGGCUCAGAUUGAACGCUGGCGGCAGGCCUAACACAUGCAAGUCGAACGGUAACAGGAAGCAGCUUGCUGCUUCGCUGACGAGUGGCGGACGGGUGAGUAAUGUCUGGGAAACUGCCUGAUGGAGGGGGAUAACUACUGGAAACGGUAGCUAAUACCGCAUAACGUCGCAAGACCAAAGAGGGGGACCUUCUGGCCUCUUGCCAUCGGAUGUGCCCAGAUGGGAUUAGCUAGUAGGUGGGGUAACGGCUCACC
rnacentral:rRNA from 1 species